AGCGAACGCUGGCGGCAGGCCUAACACAUGCAAGUCGAACGAAGUCUUCGGACUUAGUGGCGGACGGGUGAGUAACACGUGGGAACGUGCCUUUAGGUUCGGGAUAACUCAGGGAAACUUGUGCUAAUACCGAAUGUGCCCUUCGGGGGAAAGAGUUAUCGCCUUUAGAGCGGCCCGCGUCUGAUUAGCUAGUUGGUGAGGUAAAGGCUCACCAAGGCGACGAUCAGUAGCUGGUCUGAGAGGAUGAUCAGCCACAUUGGGACUGAGACACGGCCCAAACUCCUACGGGAGGCAGCAGUGGGGAAUCUUGCGCAAUGGGCGAAAGCCUGACGCAGCCAUGCCGCGUGAAUGAUGAAGGUCUUAGGAUUGUAAAAUUCUUUCACCGGGGACGAUAAUGACGGUACCCGGAGAAGAAGCCCCGGCUAACUUCGUGCCAGCCGCCGCGGUAAGAC
rnacentral:rRNA from 1 species